GUUCUUUAAUUCUUCUAGGUUUUUGUUCUUAAUUCUUCUAGGUCUUUGUUAAACAUUUCUUGUAUCUUCUUGAUCUUUGCCUGCAUUCUUUUUCCUAGGUCUUGGAUCAUCUUCACUAUCAUUAUUCUGAAUUCUUUUUCUGGAAAGUUGCCUAUCUCCACUUCAUUUAGUUGUUUUCCUGGGGUUUUAUCUUGUUCUUUCAUCUGGUACAAAGUCCUCUGCCUUUUCAUUUUGUCUGUCUUUCUGUGAAUGUGGUUUUCCUUCCACAGGCUGCAGAAUUGUAUUUCUUCUUGCUUCUGCUGUGAAGACCAAUUUCUUGAUGCUUCAAUUCAAUUCAAUUCAUCAAGUGACGGAUUUAUUUCAUUUUUAGCCCGUCUCCUUCAGCAAGAUCUGAAAUACCUGCUGUUGGUGUAGCUGUAGUAAACAUUUUUACAGAAACUACAAAACAGACUGAAGAAAACAUAACACGUACCAUUAAAAAAGCAAUUGAAUCCAGUGCACCUGAGUUUACAGGAUACAUCAAGGAAGAUCGGUGUGAUUAUUAUGGUUGUAAGAAAAAUGGGCAAGAUGAGUGUGCCAGUGGUUUACUAUGUCAGUGCAAACCGGGGCUACAGAGACCGAACCCACAGUUCCCUCUGUGUGUUGCUUUGGGUCCACAGUGUCCUGAUUACUGCAACACACAGAACAAGAGUCAAUGCCUAGUGAAGAACAGCGGGAAGGCUAAGUGCGUGUGCCUGCCAGGCUACAAGGAAGAUAAUCUUGGGAUCUGUCAACCGUAAGAGAAAUCACUCCUUCUUCAUCUUGUCAUAGCUGAAGCUAGGCAAAAAGGAUAGAGCUUGUCACAUGUGUAUGAGUUUAGGGUCCAGAAGUUGGUUCACUGGCAUAAGUUGGUAGGUACAGAGCAUCACCGUCACCACCACCAUCAUCAUCAAUUUUUGAACAUUCUCCGUGUGCUGGGAACCACAGCAGGUAAUGCUUCUCAUACAGCAACAGUCAGGAAUGUAUUUAUUCCCCAUUUUCAGGUGAGGAAACUGAAGCUCGGAGAAUAUAAAUGACAUGUCCCCACUCACAGGGCAGCAAAUAAAUGGCCGAGCCAGGUGGUCUCACAGCCCGAGGGGGUCCCACUAAGCUCCAUGCCUCUGGGACUCGGCUUCGCCCAAACUGCUGAAUCCUCCUGGCGCUCAGAAGAUGGAGCGUUCAGUUGGUAGCAAAUGGAACCACACGGGAUUGUGUACCCCCUCAACCUUCCAGAGUGCCAUGAAAGGCGCUCACCUGGAAGAAUGGGAGCGUAAGGAAGAAAAGAGAAAGAGGACACGGAACGGGGAGGAGAGAAUGAAAGAAAGAUGCAAGGAAGACAUGGAGGUUGGGUGGGAACUCUGACCUGCUCCCACAAGGCUCCUUACCGUGGUCUCCUACUCCUUGUAUUUUAGGUGUGCGUUUGGCUACAGCGGAGUUGAUUGUAAAGACUGUGAGUAGAAGAGUCUUGCUUUGUUAAUAAGCUUCUAAGAAACAGACAUUGACCACAUUCAAAAUUCUCUCCAGUCCCCCAAAGUCUCUGGCUUGUUUCAUAAAGAGAGAGAAAAUCAAGCUGGAGU